GUUUAUAGAGGCAAUGUUUGACUGCAAGAUGUGUUCAGAGUUCAGCGCUGGGUCAGCUAGAUGGAGAACUACGGCAGAAUCCACAAUUUGCAGAAAAGCACUUAAAAGAGCAGUUGCUGGAGAGGUGGAAGUUGGAGACACUUUUGGAAGUUAUGAAGCUGUGCCCUUCCGUAUCUCCCCAUAUGCACGAGUGCUACCAGAGGAAUGUGCCUGGCACUGAAGGACAGGUGACAUGUCACAGCUGAGAGAAGGCUGACAACUUUAAAGAAAAAACAAACAAAAUGCCAACAAGACAGAAAAGCCAGCACUCUGCCAAAGCUGGCUGUAGGAAAGGAUGACAAUCAUCCAGAAGCAGAGAUGAAAGUCCCAAAACAAGAGAACGCUGGGGAAAAAGCAAACAUAUGAACAGAAAAUGCAAGAGUGACCAAGGACCAAGUAGUACUGUUCUGAAUAAGAGAACCCAAGAUGAGAAGAGGGUGUAAAAUCCUCCUGCUUCUCAACUGCAAUCUCCUGAACCCUACCUUUGUAGGUAGACUCUGUGUAUUUGAUACAGGUGACAAGUGUGGUAGGUCUAAUGGAUUCAGUACUUGAAACUGAAGCAAUUAAUAGCAGUGGGGAUUUGUUAAGUCUAAGUAAUAUUAAUGUUUCUAAACUAAGCUGAUAGUGAGAAUGCUACAGAUUGUUAUAGUUCAUUGGAGCGUCAUGUCACUUUGACUAACAGUUGCAGUUUUCAAAGGGACUGAAUAUCUCAUUUUGUAAAGCUAUACCUGCGUGUUUUUUUUAGCAGUAAGGCAUCACAUUAGUUGUACUGCACUGCAAUACAGUAUGUACUGUAGAACAAGUCAGGGAUAUUUUCAUAAAGUACUUAUGUACAGCCCUAACUUCUGAGCAAUAAAAAAUGGAAUUUUCCAUUUCCCAGUAAGUCUGUCAAGUUUCUUUGUAAGUAAAUCAUACCAUUUGCACUGCAAACAAA